rnacentral:lncRNA from 7 species
AGGUCAAGAUUGAGCCCUUUCUGGAGGAGGUGCAUUAGCUGGCUGCAGAUUCCAGGGCUGUAUUCACAUGGUGCUCAGCUGAUUAUGAUACCAAGGGGAGUUCCCAGUCCCUCAGUGCUCCAGCCCGAGGCCAGUUCCACGCAGUACAAAGGAAAACCCAGCUAAGCGAGAGCAUUUGGAGGAAGCUGCUUUUCAGUUGCAGCAGAUUUUCCGGGUUGAUAUUUCCAUUGCAUUCAAUAUCCUUGGUAAUGUGGACUUGGGUUUGUUUUGUCCUUAAUCCACAUGUUCCUCUUUUUGGAGGGCCUCCAAAUGGUUACAGGCCUUAUGUGAAGGCAGAGAUGGCAUGUACCCAAACUGAAGCCUUCUUUCAGCAAUUUCAACUACACUUUGAGAGAUUUAUUGUCCUUUGUCUCAUCCUGCCACCUGAUUUAUGUCAGCAUUUUUAAAUCCAGGCUUGGUUGAAAUGUGCACUGUUGUCCUGACAUCUGUAUUUGGAAAUUAAGUCAUCUCUGUCCUUUUUGCAACAUGAGCUGUCCUAUCUUCAUAGCUCUUUUUUCAUUGUCUGAGAUCUCAGUCUUCCUGGCAAGCUGAAAAAGCAAUUGCAGAACUGCAACUCUAAGAAGAGCUGAAGGAAGAUGUAGUGAUCUAAGAAAAAACUCCCUGCCCUACAUACACCACUAGUUGCAGCACUAGAAAAGUAAACUGCUUCUCCAUUAAC